AUGGCCGUGAGGAUCGAAGCGGCUGACUAAGCACGGGGAGAGCGUGAUGUAACGUGCGAUUAAACAGGAGCCGAAAGCCCGGGUCAACAGACCGCUAAAGAAAGAGAGUGGAGACACAAAACACAGUAAAAAUAAUCUAUGUACAUAUUUCUAAGCGUCUAGAGCGUUUCCACUAAGCAUCGAUAAAUGCCAAAUUUAACGUCUCUGAAAAGCCACAGCUAAACUACCGGGAUCGCGGAGUACGCAGUCUAGAAAGAGAGUCACUUCGGCAACUACAGGACGAUACAAAACUGGUAGAAGGCUUGCCGAGAGAACCGGAGAAAGGCAACAACGUAGUUGUGGCUCUCGGUACCGAUGGAAUGGGUCUUGAAUCUAGACGCGAGAAAACACGGUGAACCAGAUACCCUUUGGAAAUACAGCCCUUUGUCAGUACCUCGCCCUUCCAUACAGCUUUUGCAUAUUCCCAGGACAAGAGUUUCAUUUGUUCUAUAUUGAAAUAAAAACGGUCGUCUUGUCUGGUUUGCAAUUCAGCUAGUAAUUCGUGCGACCUUCAAACAGCCUUGAGGGCAAGGGAUUUGCUCUAGAUGUAUUGGAUUUUGGUUGGAGUUUUAGCUUCCUAAAGCUGAACUGUUCUCCUGAAACAAAUAUAAGUAGUUUCAGGUUGACUUUUCGUUAUAGUGCAUGUUUUAAUUGUCAGUGAUCUUGGAGAAUUGAUUUUUACUAGUGAUUGGUUAUGAUAAUUAUUAAUUUUUAAUGAGUUAGAGCAUAAAUUACGCUGGUGAUGAAAAUAAAUGUUGACGGAGUACGAUGGAUCUUCUGGUCCAAGUUCUAAUGCCCAGUGCGUGGCACCAUGCUUUAAUUAACGUGCCAAUCCUGACUGACGUCAUAAUCAGUCGACCAAUCCACUCAGCCCGCGAAUUAACCAUGCAAACACCUGACACCAUUUGAUGCGUCCCCUUGCCACAUCAUAAAGUGGCUGGCUGUAGCUGAGGAAAUCAUGGGGAAGUCCCGUGAUCGAUGUCAGAAUGAUAGAUUAAUGCCCAGCUGUGCUUAUGGUAUGAUUCAAGUAGCCAAUCCUUGUAGAACCUUGUAAGAACGUAGGAAUUCUUUAAAAAGGUGGCGGCAUGCCUAUAUAUCGAUUAUCGUCAACGACCAAUGAAAUGCUUGUGCGUCGUAAACAAAUCUCUACGAUUGGUGGAAACUUUCCCGCCAGCGGGGAUUCGGGAAUCCAGGGUUUUAAGCAUGCGUACAAAAUACAUUUGGCGUUCGAUCCUUUAAUGAUCAAUUGCAUUACACGUUUCAUGGUUCAAGGUCACGAAAGUGAGUAUCUCUGUAUGCUGCCUACGACCAGAAAUAAAUAUAUCCUUCCGUGAAUAAGCCAUAAAAUUUUUUAUUUGCUCUAUUUAUUGUACUAAAUCAAUACUUGGGUCGUUGAGUAUAAUUUGCAUUUUCAGUGACGUGGAAUGUUCAAGGUCAUGGUUCAACUAUUAGACGAAUAUAAUUAAAUUUUUUGUUCUCUUCCUUUUUUGUGGUUU